rnacentral:rRNA from 1 species
ACUGCUAUCGGGGUGGGACUAAGACAUGCGAGUCGAGCGUCUCUAGCUAUGUUGAGACGCGGCAUACGGCUCAGUAACACGUGGCUAACCUACCCUCAGGACGGGGACAAACCCGGGAAACUGGGGCUAAUAUCCGAUAGGCGAGGAAUCCUGGAAUGGUUCUUCACCCAAAGGACAUUGGAAACAUGCUUUCUCUGUCGCCUGGGGAUGGGGCUGCGACCGAUCAGGUUGUUGGUGAGGUAAUGGCUCACCAAGCCUAUAACCGGUACGGGCCGUGAGAGUGGUAGCCCGGAGAUGGGUACUGAGACAAGGACCCAGGCCCUACGGGGCGCAGCAGUCGCGAAAACUCCGCAAUGCACGAAAGUGUGACGGGGCUACCCCGAGUGCCGUCCGCUGAGGAUGGCUUUUCCUUGGUGUAACUAGCCGGGGGAAUAAGGAGAGGGCAAGACUGGUGUCAGCCGCCGCGGUAAUACCAGCUCUCCGAGUGGUAGGGAUGAUUAUUGGGCUUAAAGCGUCCGUAGCCGGCUUAGCAAGUCUCCUGUUAAAUUCAGCGACCUAAUCGUUGACCCGCGGGAGAUACUACUAGGCUAGGAGGCGGGAGAGGUCGACGGUACUUCUGGGGUAGGGGUGAAAUCCUAUAAUCCCGGGAGGACCACCAGUGGCGAAGGCUGUCGACUAGAACGCGCUCGACGGUGAGGGACGAAAGCUGGGGGAGCGAACCGGAUUAGAUACCCGGGCAGUCCCAGCUGUAAACGAUGCGGGCUAGGUGUUGGGGUGGCUACGUGCCACUUCAGUGCCGCAGGGAAGCCAUUAAGCCCGCCGCCUGGGGAGUACGGCCGCAAGGCUGAAACUUAAAGGAAUUGGCGGGGGAGCACCACAAGGCGUGAAG